rnacentral:rRNA from 1 species
AUAAACGCUGGCGGCGUGCCUCAUCCAUGCAAGUCGAGCGAACAGACGAGGAGCUUGCUCCUCUGACGUUAGCGGCGGACGGGUGAGUAACACGUGGAUAACCUACCUAUAAGACUGGGAUAACUUCGGGAAACCGGAGCUAAUACCGGAUAAUAUAUUGAACCGCAUGGUUCAAUAGUGAAAGACGGUUUUGCUGUCACUUAUAGAUGGAUCCGCGCCGCAUUAGCUAGUUGGUAAGGUAACGGCUUACCAAGGCAACGAUGCGUAGCCGACCUGAGAGGGUGAUCGGCCACACUGGAACUGAGACACGGUCCAGACUCCUACGGGAGGCAGCAGUAGGGAAUCUUCCGCAAUGGGCGAAAGCUUGACGGAGCAACGCCGCGUGAGUGAUGAAGGUCUUCGGAUCGUAAAACUCUGUUAUUAGGGAAGAACAAAUGUGUAAGUAACUAUGCACGUCUUGACGGUACCUAAUCAGAAAGCCACGGCUAACUACGUG